GGAGGAAAGCAGGGGAUCGAAAGACCGUGCGCUUUUGGAGCGGCCGAUGUCUGAUUAGCUAGUUGGUGGGGUAAUGGCCUACCAAGGCGACGAUCAGUAGUUGGUCUGAGAGGACGACCAGCCACACUGGGACUGAGACACGGCCCAGACUCCUACGGGAGGCAGCAGUGGGGAAUUUUGGACAAUGGGCGCAAGCCUGAUCCAGCAAUGCCGCGUGAGUGAAGAAGGCCUUCGGGUUGUAAAGCUCUUUCAGUCGAGAAGAAAAGGCUGCAGUGAGUAACUGUAGUUUAUGACGGUAUCGACAGAAGAAGCACCGGCUAACUACGUGCCAGCAGCCGCGGUAAUACGUAGGGUGCGAGCGUUUUUAUCGGAGAGGGGAAAAAACC
rnacentral:rRNA from 1 species